rnacentral:rRNA from 1 species
GACGGAGGAUGCAAGCGUUAUCCGGAAUGAUUUGGGCGUAAAGCGUCCGCAGGUGGCAGUUCAAGUCUGCUGUCAAAGACCGGGGCUUAACUUCGGAAAGGCAGUGGAAACUGAACAGCUAGAGUAUGGUAGGGGCAGAGGGAAUUCCUGGUGUAGCGGUGAAAUGGCGUAGAGAUCGGGAGGAACAUCAGUUGCGAAGGCGGCUCUCUGGACCAGUACUGACGCUGAGGCACGAAAGCGUGGGGAGCAAACAGG